CAGCCCCAGAGUUCAAGAAUCAAGAGUUUCUCCAGAAGCAAAGUCACCCCAUUGGAAUGAAAAGUGUCCAUGGGUUAUUAAGGCACAAGUGACAACAUGUCUUCAUGAAUAAAGCAAAACACACAGAAAACACGUUGACUUUUUUCAACAAGCUCCGCUUUUCAGGAGACUGUGGACUAAGAGCUGGAGACAUUGGAGAAGCAGGAACCAGCAACCCU
rnacentral:lncRNA from 1 species